rnacentral:rRNA from 1 species
AUAGACUGCUAAUACCGCAUAAGCGCACAGUGCUGCAUGGCACAGUGUGAAAAACUCCGGUGGUAUGAGAUGGACCCGCGUCUGAUUAGCUAGUUGGUGGGGUAACGGCCUACCAAGGCGACGAUCAGUAGCCGGCCUGAGAGGGUGAACGGCCACAUUGGGACUGAGACACGGCCCAAACUCCUACGGGAGGCAGCAUG